rnacentral:rRNA from 1 species
GAUGAACGCUGGCGGCGUGCUUAACACAUGCAAGUCGAACGAAGCACUUUAUUUGAUUUCCUUCGGGACUGAUUAUUUUGUGACUGAGUGGCGGACGGGUGAGUAACGCGUGGGUAACCUGCCUUGUACAGGGGGAUAACAGUUGGAAACGGCUGCUAAUACCGCAUAAGCGCACAGCAUCGCAUGAUGCAGUGUGAAAAACUCCGGUGGUAUAAGAUGGACCCGCGUUGGAUUAGCUAGUUGGUGAGGUAACGGCCCACCAAGGCGACGAUCCAUAGCCGACCUGAUAGGGUGACCGGCCACAUUGGGACUGAGACACGGCCCAAACUCCUACGGGAGGCAGCAGUGGGGAAUAUUGCACAAUGGGCGAAAGCCUGAUGCAGCGACGCCGCGUGGGCGAAGAAGUAUUUCGGUAUGUAAAGCUCUAUCAGCAGGGAAGAUAAUGACGUUACCUUACUAAGAAGCACCGGCUAAAUACGUG